CUUACACUUACACCGUAUAUCCGAUUGACAAAACACUGUUGCUCAUGUUGUCUUGUACCUAAUUAACACUUAUUAUACAGAAGCAAAACAAGCACUCAAGAGGCAGAGGGAAAGUGCCCGGUAUGAGCAAGAUAAACAACGUAUAUUACAAAGCCUACGUGACAAACGGCGUCGAGCCAAAUCUACAGUAGUCCUUACAACUGGAGAACAAAAACAAUCUGGCAUAGGUGAUGCCAGCUACAUGAAACACUGCAUAUCCAAUCUUUCAUUUCCUAACUGACAAUCACUCAAUUUCUGUAGCUGAUGAAGAUUGUGAUUGGCUACGGAGCAUCUACAAGUAACGUCAGGUGGAAUUGUGUUCUUGGAGAAUGCAUGCAUCUAUAAGAUGAUAAAGAUCGGUUGCUAUCUGUCCUCAGAUGACACGGAUGCCACACCAGCAUGGGUAUUAAACAGAGCCAAAGAGUAUUUGGAAAAUGAUAUGGUAAGUCUUAGUUUUCUACACAUUUCUAUGAAUUACAGCGAGAACGACCGAUUCGUCCACAUAGGAGUACAACUAAAAUAAUUAUUUUCUUCAGAUAUUCAUUCCAAUAAACAUGGACGAUGUUCACUGGUACCUAUGUGUUAUAAAUGCCAGAAAACUAUUUUCAUAAGUAGCUUUUUUUUUCUUAUUUCUCGCUUGUGAUGCUUAUACUUUUUCCUUUUGUUGGUACAACAGCUAGAAGGACUGGAUGAUUUAUUCAAAUAUGCAUCCGAGCACAUGGAAUUAUAAUCCGAUAAGUGGAUUGAUCUAAAUGUUACAACACGAGAAAGAGAAGAAUAUAUUAAGAGCAGUCUUCAGACGGAUGGGUAGGCCUCCUAAUAUAACUCAGAGCUUUUACCUUAUUGGAUGCCAAUGCAAUUGACACAGCAUCUCUCAUGAGAUAUGGCCUAAAUAAUGGAGCUCAAGGUGAUACAUUUCAUUGGGCUGCAUAUAGUAGUAUAGAAAAUGUGUUACAAUUUCUGGAUUUGAAUAACGAAUAUGUUACUACACACAUGGAAAGAAUCAGAUAGAUAGCAUACCUGAAUGUGUUUCACUAACAAUCUUCCACUACUCUAUAUAUCAUCCAUGCCAACAUAGAGAAAGAGAAACAUCUCACAAAUGAAUGACAAUGUGAUGAAGGUGCCUGUUGUGCAUACAAUGGCAUAAGCAUCAGCAAAGUUUAGAUGUCAAAUGAUGGUGUCACAUGUAUUUCUGAUACAAAUAGUGUAGAUACCAACUUGGUUGUGACCCUGGAACUCUCUGUUACUUGGUGCCAGUAAUAAUGCGACAUUACAACAUGAGAAUACCACACUAAUCAAGCAACAGCCACAAAAAGCAGCAACUCAACAUCAAUUAUAGAUAGCUGAUAGUCACAAAUUAAGCCACCCAGAAUUCAAGUCCACAAAUCAAUCAGCUUUGUCACAGCAUGGUUGCCUAAAAAAAUUCACCUGACUAAAUCCCCACUGAUAACCAUAGGUGCAUUAACAACAUCUAAACGAACAGCAUACCUUCAGCAACCGAGCACGUACGCGAGCUGUGAACUCCUUCCCGCAGCAACUGUGUGAGCCAAUCACGGGGGGACGAUGAUUACAGUAGGCACGUCAACACACUGGAUCUCCGUCCAAUUCGAGAUUCCUCCUCCCACAUCGUGUCUAGCAGCUCGCAUCUCGAUCAGCUCUGGGGCAGUAGGAUGGCGGCAGCAGAGUCGAUCUAGGAAAGAUUGGCGGGGUUGGCGGCGAGGCAAGGCCGCAGUGGUGACAGGAGCUGGCAGGGCGAGGCCGUCGUGGGGAUAAGGGACGGCGGGGCGAGACCGUCGUGGGGAUAGGACGAGAAGGGGCGAGGCCGUGGUGGUGGCGUGGGUUGUGGGGGAGGGGGCGCCGGGCGACGUCGUGGCGGGAGAGGCGGCGGCGUGCUGCAGAGCAGGCGGC
rnacentral:lncRNA from 1 species